GCCUCCAUAGCUUAAACGGCAAAGCAGCGGUCUCUUAAACCGCGGAGUGAAGGUUCGACUCCUUCUGGGGGCA
rnacentral:tRNA from 1 species